UACAGAGGUCUCAAGCGUUGUUCGGAUUCAUUGGGCGUAAAGGGUGCGUAGGUGGCGCUGUAAGUCGGGUGUGAAAUUUCGGAGCUCAACUCCGAAACUGCAUUCGAUACUGCGGUGCUUGAGGACUGGAGAGGAGACUGGAAUUCAUGGUGUAGCAGUGAAAUGCGUAGAGAUCAUGAGGAAGACCAGUGGCGAAGGCGGGUCUCUGGGCCGAUACUGACGCUGAGGAGCGAAAGCGUGGGGAGCGAACAGG
rnacentral:rRNA from 1 species